GAUGUAGUGGUAAGCAAUUAAUUCUGGGGGACUCCCUGCCUGUUGACAUGUGUGGCUCCUGCCCUGAGCAGCUCCCCUUGCUUAGAAGGCUCCUAUCCUCCUUUUCAGUAGACAAACUAAUUUGUUUUAGACUCAGUUCCCUAGGGACAAAGGUGACUCCUUCAGCCAAGGGUCUAAUUUUGGUGAAUUGUCUUGCAAGGUAAGGAGAAGAGAGACAGAGAAAAUAUUAGCAGUGGCUUACCCUUGUACAGAGCUUCCUACACCCAAGCAUGAUUCAGAUGCAUGCCCAUACUCCAGGGAGGUAUCAUUACUGUUCCUACUUUGGAAGUGGGGAUACCAAGGUACAGAGGGGCUACUCAGAUGGCCCACGGUCACACAGCCCAAAGUGGCAGAGCAGCAUUCAAAUCCAGGCAGUGCUGCUCUAAGUGUGUUGUCCUUAUCAUGGUUCUGCACAGCUCUCCACCAGGUACCUGAGAGCAGAUGGGAGUGUGCUGGAAUUGGACAGACAGUCCAGGGCCGGGUCAUCUUCAUGAUGUGUGCACCCUCAGCGAGAGGGGCCACAGCAAAAUGGUUAAGAACUUUGACUCUUCAUUCAAGCCAACUGAGUUUAAACCCCACCUUUUGUUGUCAUGGGCUGAGCGAUUUGCAGCCAGUUGCUAACUUCUUUGUGCCAUGUUUUCCCCUAUGGAGAAAUGGGAUAGAAGGAGAGCCUCCUCGGAUCCUGGAAAGACUGGGGAGAGAUGUGGUGUGCCACUAGGACACUCACAGACAUGAGAGUGGUGUCCUGCCCACUUCUCAUCUGGGCCUGGGGCUUGCCACCAUUAACUACUACCAGUGAGCUACACACACUGGAUUUUAAACACCGUCAUUGAUGCUCAUUUUUCUGCCUAUUUUAAUUUUUCACCCAUUUGUUAUAUUUCUGUUGAUCGUGUUACUUUUGGCCUAGCUAUAUUUAUUAAAAUAGCUAUAUCAAACAUCUGUC
rnacentral:lncRNA from 1 species